UACAGAGGUCUCAAGCGUUGUUCGGAUUUAUUGGGCGUAAAGAGCUCGUAGGCGGUGUGUCGCGUCUGCUGUGAAAACUCAGGGCUCAACUCUGAGCUUGCAGUGGGUACGGGCACACUAGAGUGCUGUAGGGGAGACUGGAAUUCCUGGUGUAGCGGUGAAAUGCGCAGAUAUCAGGAGGAACACCGGUGGCGAAGGCGGGUCUCUGGGCAGUUACUGACGCUGAGGAGCGAAAGCAUGGGGAGCGAACAGG
rnacentral:rRNA from 1 species